rnacentral:siRNA from 1 species
AGGGUUGGUAUAUGGAUCAUUAUU